UGGGGAAUAUUGCACAAUGGGGGAAACCCUGAUGCAGCGACGCCGCGUGAACGAAGAAGGUAUUCGUAUCGUAAAGUUCUGUCCUAUGCGAAGAUAAUGACAGUACCAUAGAAGAAAGCUCCGGCUAAAUACGUGCCAGCAGCCGCGGUAAUACGUAUGGAGCGAGCGUUGUCCGGAAUUAUUGGGCGUAAAGGGUACGCAGGCGGUUUAAUAAGUCGAAUGUUAAAGAUCGGGGCUCAACCCCGUAAAGCAUUGGAAACUGAUAAACUUGAGUAGUGGAGAGGAAAGUGGAAUUCCUAGUGUAGUGGUGAAAUACGUAGAUAUUAGGAGGAAUACCAGUAGCGAAGGCGACUUUCUGGACACAAACUGACGCUGAGGUACGAAAGCGUGGGGAGCAAACAGG
rnacentral:rRNA from 1 species